CAAAUGGGAUUUUAUCAGUGUUGUCAAAUUUAUCCGGAUACGUGUGGACGGGCGAAAACGAUCCGAAAACGAUACUUUGCGUUUGAUACCACUGCUU